CGGCGACGCCGAAGCCGGCCCGGCUACAGCUGAGGGGGCGGGGCUCCCUGAAAGAGCCAAUCAGCGCGGCGCAGACCGCGUGACGCUAAGCACCUGGAGGUGGGCGUGGUUUUCGAGGUACCGCCUCCGGCCCCCGCGGUUUCUAGAGGCCCCGCCCAGCACCUCGGCGCCACCUCCCCUUAUGCCCUAGGAGGUUGUAGCAGGCUCUUGUCCAGUUGGGCCACUCUUUCCCUUUCCCUCCGGGUAGGAAGUUGCCAUCUUUCUUCUUCACCCUUUGACCGGUCAUCUAAUGAGUCAGUGGCAUAAAGUAAUAAAAGAGAACUAGAGAUUGUGGCUUCCCGGUUCUGACGGUGCGAACUGUGCUGGCCCUGGGUGAGCCAAGUCCGCAGGAGCAGCUGACAUGGACAUGUGAGCAUUCAUCCCUGAGAGAGAGCUCUGCAGGGUUUCCAUAAUAAUAAUUGACCUGGAAUCUCCAAGUGGCACCGAGUGCCAUUGUUUACAAGAGCAGUGCAUCAGACAAACUUCACGAUCAUGGAGUAUGCUUCCAAAAGCCUGAUCUGUGCUCCUGGAAGCUGCCAAUCAGGAGAAACUGCCACGGCCAUGGGAAGAUAACUGGAUUCUGGCUCAGAAGAUGUAUAGGAGGAGGGCAGGAAUUUGAAUAAAUCAUGGGCUUCAGUUAA